UACGUAGGGUGCAAGCGUUAAUCGGAAUUACUGGGCGUAAAGCGUGCGCAGGCGGUUAUGUAAGACAGAUGUGAAAUGCCCGGGCUUAACCUGGGAACUGCAUUUGUGACUGCAUGGCUAGAAUCUGGCAGAGGGGGGUAGAAUUCCACGUGUAGCAGUGAAAUGCGUAGAUAUGUGGAGGAACACCGAUGGCGGAGGCAGCCCCCUGGGUCAAGAUUGACGCUCAUGCACGAAAGCGUGGGGAGCAAACAGG
rnacentral:rRNA from 1 species